rnacentral:lncRNA from 1 species
AUAUGUGAUGGUGUGCCACCACUGCUAAAGCUACUAUAUCACCAUGUGGAAGAGAUUGAAUGGACGUGGCCCCGUGCUCCAAUUGAAAUGGAUGCUUGACUGGCCGCUGGCCGCCCUCAUCCGUUCGUACAUCUCCCCACAUGUGCGAUUCAUCGCCCACCUCACCUCACUAGUGCCACUGUGGAACCCUAUGAAAGGGGCGAUAUCGGUCCACUACAAUAUGUCGGAGAAUGGCAACGCAUCCCUGAUUGCGAGAUUGCGACGCGAGAAAUCACGAUUGUAGUAGAACCCGCUCGCCUCCCCAGCGCCACCGUCAGUGCCUCCCUCGUCAGAUCCAGCACCAUUCUCUUAAGUCCGUCCAUCGCCACUGCAUCCAUCUUGACCUCUAGUAGUGCCCGCACCGUCGUCGCCACGUGCAGUGGCAUCAGUCCCCCGCC